GUCCCAGGCCUUCCAGGUCAGCCAGAGGGAAGCCCUGGAUUCCCACACCUGCACACCCUGCACAGCCAAACCACAAACAGUGAGGUUCUCCCCAAGCUUUCCCGAAACACAUACACAUAUGGUGUGGGGGGAGAGAGUGUCUCUAUUUUGGCAGUGAGUUGCUGCCAAGAAUGGCUGAAAUGCUGCUGCUGGCACCCACAUACAACAGCAGUUCUCUGAGGGAGAAUUCAAACCAUUUGUUUCAUAUUUUAAGUCUGACUCAGGAUGUGCUGGUGCCCGGCAGUGUUCCCUGGGCAGCACACAGAGGCUGGGAGCCCUCCAUGCUGCACCCACCGCCCACAGUGGCUGCACAUCUGCCCUGGAAGGGCAGGCACCUCUUUCUGCAGAGUUUUCCAAGUCCUGUAUGCAUGAAACAGUGAUGAUACUCACAGACCACAUUGGAAUCUGCUGGCAGCUGAGAGCCUCUGCUGGACAACAAUCAAGACCAAGUGUGUGCAAGAGCUCGUACGUGGCUGCUCUGCUCACUCAGAGCUACUGGAGUUUUCUUAGAGUCUCUGUGGUGCAAUGAGGGUUGAGACUGAGCCAAACAGAAAAUGAGACCAACAGAAGGGAGCAAAGCCAGAAAGAAACUGAACCAGCAAGGAUUCAAUUAAACAGGGGGAGAGGUACCUGGGCAAUGCAGGGGAAAUGUAUAUUUGCCAGCCAGGCUUGUUAGACUGGUCCCAAACAUAUAGGGACCAUGCUGUCCCAUGAGGUUUAAUGACAGGACAAGGAUAUAUUGGUGUAAUACAGAAUUUCUCUUGUUAUCUGGGAAGUUGGCUGUCCCAACAGCCAUCUGAACAGCCCCUGCCCACCAAGUCCUCUGCAGCCAGGUAAGUCAACUGCUUCCACUUCCAGCCCAGCAGCAGAUGUGGAUGGGAGUCCACAGUUUGAGGGAAGGAAUUUUUUUUGAGCACUAUGCCAGCCAAUUCCUUCAUUUUCUACAUCUUCACGCAACAUGCCCAUUUUCUUUAAAGAAAGAGGUGAUUUCCAUUUGACUGUGAGACCAGUGUAAUGCUCUUAAGUGAAAGUAACAGUUCCACCAAUAGUUACCCACUUCUGUCUCCCUAACUCCAGGCAAUUUCCGAAGGAAAAAGAAAUCGGAUUUCUUCUUAAUCUCCUUGCAC
rnacentral:lncRNA from 1 species